rnacentral:rRNA from 1 species
ACUGAAACAUCUUAGUACCUGCAGGAAAAGAAAGAAAACUCGAUUCCUGAAGUAGUGGCGAGCGAAACAGGAAGAGCCUAAACCAGGAGAAGUAAUUCACCUGGGGUGACGGACUACAUAAGUGACUCAAGAAUCUAGUAGAAAUGUUUUGGAAAAGCAUACCAUAGAAGGUGAAAGUCCGGUAUAUGAAAGAGGAAAGAGCAUGGUAGGAUCCAGAGUAAUGCGAGGCACGUGGAAUCUCGUAUGAAGAAGUGGGGACCACCCCAUAAGGCUAAAUACUACUUGGUGAUCGAUAGUGGAAUAGUACCGUGAGGGAAAGGUGAAAAGAACCCCGGGAGGGGAGUGAAAGAGAACUUGAAACCCUAUGUUUACAAGCAGAUAGAGCGAUUUAAGGCGCGAUAUCGUACUUUUUGUAGAACGGUCCAGCGAGUUAUUGUAUAUGGCAAGGUUAAGUACUAAGUAAGGUACGGAGCCGAAGUGAAAGCGAGCCUGAAUAGGGCGAAUUAAGUCAUAUGUAAUAGACCCGAAACCGGGUGACCUAUCCAUGGUCAGGAUGAAGCUAGAGUAAAAUCUAGUGGAGGUCCGAACUCAUAAGCGUUAAAAAGCUUCGGGAUGAACUGUGGAUAGCGGAGAAAUUCCAAUCGAACUCGGAGAUAGCUGGUUCUCCUCGAAAUAGCUUUAGGGCUAGCCUUGUGUAGUAGUAUAUGGGGGUAGAGCACUGACUGAGGUAGGGGCCUAACCAGGUUACCAAACUCUAUCAAACUCCGAAUACCGUAUAUGUAAGCACAGGAGUCAGACUGCGGGAGCUAAGUUCCGUGGUCAAAAGGGAAAGAGCCCAGAUCGUCAAUUAAGGUCCCAAAGAUAUAGCUAAGUGGCAAACGAUGUGAUUUUGCGUAAACAACCAGGAUGUUGGCUUAGAAGCAGCCAUACAUUUAAAGAGUGCGUAAUAGCUCACUGGUCGAGUGAAGUUGCGCGGAAAAUUACCGGGGCUAAGCUAUACACCGAAAUUGCGGAUUUACACUUGAAAGACAGUGUAAGUGGUAGAGGAGCAUUCUGUAGUAGGGAGAAGCAAAAGCGAGAGCAUUUGUGGACGAGGCAGAAGAGAGAAUGCUGGAAUAAGUAGCGAGAGCAAGGUGAGAAUCCUUGCCGUCGAAAGUCUAAGGUUUCCUGGGGAAGGUUCGUCCGCCCAGGGUAAGUCGGGACCUAAGGUGAGGCUGAAAAGCGUAGCCGAUGGAUAGCAGGUUGAGAUUCCUGCACUAUAGAUAUACUUAAAAGAUGCAAGGGACGCAGGAGUGGAAGAUAAGCGAGGAAGAGGAAAGACUCGUAUCGCAAGAUAUAGUGAAAAUAAAGUAACGAAUUAUCAAGAAGCACACUGACGAGAAAAGCUUGUAGAUAUUGUAUAUAAAUACCCGUACCGCAAACCGACACAGGUAGAUGAGGAGAGGAUCCUAAGACGAGCGGGAGAAGCAUUGUUAAGGAACUCGGCAAAUUAACCCCGUAACUUCGGGAGAAGGGGUGCCAAGGUAACACUUGGCCGCAGUGAAGAGGUUCAAGCAACUGUUUAACAAAAACACAGGUUUCUGCUAAAUCGAAAGAUGAAGUAUAGGAGCUGACGCCUGCCCAGUGCUGGAAGGUCAAAGGGAAGUGUUAGUAUUAACUACGAAGCACAGAACUCAAGCCCCAGUGAACGGCGGCCGUAACUAUAACGGUCCUAAGGUAGCGAAAUUCCUUGUCAGGUAAGUUCUGACCCGCACGAAAGGCGUAAUGAUUUGAACACUGUCUCGACAAUGUACCCGGCGAAAUUGUAGUACUAGUGAAGAUGCUAGUUACCUGCGACAAGACAGAAAGACCCCAUGGAGCUUUACUGCAGCUUGAUACUGGGUUUUGGUAAUUUAUGUACAGGAUAGGUGGGAUACAUUGAAGCAAGGGCGCCAGCUUUUGUGGAGUAGACGUUGGGAUACCACUCUUAAAUUAUUGAAAUUCUAACCUGUGAUCAUGAACUGGUCAGGGGACAAUGUCAGGCGGGCAGUUUGACUGGGGCGGUCGCCUCCUAAAGAGUAACGGAGGCGCCCAAAGGUUUCCUCAGCACGGACAGAAAUCGUGCAUAAGAGUGUAAAGGCAGAAGGAAGCUUAACUGGGAGACUGACAAGUCGAGCAGAUACGAAAGUAGGGCUUAGUGAUCCGGCGGUAGUGAGUGGAAAUGCCGUCGCUCAACGGACAAAAGUUACCCUGGGGAUAACAGGCUUAUCUCCCCCAAG